ACGUGAGAGAAUGGUUACCGCGGCUGCUGGCACGGAGUUAGCCGGUGCUUCUUCUGUGAGUGAUGUCCUUCCUGCCGGCUAUUAACCCGCAGGCCUUCUUCCUCACUGAAAGUGCUUUACAACCCGAAGGCCUUCUUCACACACGCGGCAUGGCUGGAUCAGGGUUGCCCCCAUUGUCCAAUAUUCCCCACUGCUGCCUCCCGUAGGAGUCUGGGCCGUGUCUCAGUCCCAGUGUGGCUGAUCAUCCUCUCAGACCAGCUACGGAUCGUCGCCUUGGUGAGCCGUUACCUCACCAACCAGCUAAUCCGACAUAGGCUCAUCCGAUAGCGCGAGGCCCGAAGGGUCCCCCCGCUUUCCCCCCGUAGGGCGUAUGCGGUAUUAGCCUGGGUUUCCCAGGUUAUCCCCACUACCGGGCAGAUUCCUAUGCAUUACUCACCCGUCCGCCGCUCGCC
rnacentral:rRNA from 1 species